rnacentral:rRNA from 1 species
GGAAUAUUGGUCAAUGGACGCGAGUCUGAACCAGCCAAGUAGCGUGAAGGAUGACUGCCCUAUGGGUUGUAAACUUCUUUUAUAUGGGAAUAAAGUUUUCCACGUGUGGAAUUUUGUAUGUACCAUAUGAAUAAGGAUCGGCUAACUCCGUGCAAGCAGCCGCGGUAAUACGGAGGAUCCGAGCGUUAUCCGGAUUUAUUGGGUUUAAAGGGUGCGUAGGCGGGCUGUUAAGUCAGCGGUCAAAUGUCGGGGCUCAACCCCGGCCUGCCGUUGAAACUGGCGGCCUCGAGUGGGCGAGAAGUAUGCGGAAUGCGUGGUGUAGCGGUGAAAUGCAUAGAUAUCACGCAGAACUCCGAUUGCGAAGGCAGCUCACUAGACUGCAACUGACACUGAUGCUCGAAAGUGUGGGUAUCAAACAG